rnacentral:tRNA from 1 species
GCCCGACUGGCAUAGUGGUAUUGCGUCUCACUCGUAUUGAUUUGACGCCAUGAGAAGAUCCUAGGUUCGAUUCCUAGGUUGGGCA